GAGAUUAGAGGGGUGGGGCCAGGGGAAAUAUGUGUUUAGGAGGGGGUUGUAUAUACCCAAAAGGGGUACUGGGGUCCAGUUAAGGUGGAAAUUGGGGUUGGGAGUGCGCUUAGAAACAGAGACAGACAAAUAGGCUAUAUGUAAAGGGUGGAGGGAGAAAAGGGAAGAAGAAGAAAGAAAGAAAGAAGAAGGGGGGAGGCGGGGGGGGAGAGGGGAGAUUGGAUUGAAAGAGAGAGGGGAGAUAGUACAGUAAUAUCAGCGGUAUUAAUUCAAAUAAAGGGUGGCUGCAGCAGCAGUGGCCCCUCUUUUAAAAAGAAAAAUGAUAAAAGUAGGUAUAUGGGGGGGA